UACGGGGGGGGCAAGCGUUGUUCGGAAUUACUGGGCGUAAAGGGCUCGUAGGCGGCCAACUAAGUCAGACGUGAAAUCCCUCGGCUUAACCGGGGAACUGCGUCUGAUACUGGAUGGCUUGAGUUUGGGAGAGGGAUGCGGAAUUCCAGGUGUAGCGGUGAAAUGCGUAGAGAUCGGGAGGAACACCGGUGGCGAAGGCGGCAUCCUGGACCGAUACUGACGCUGAGGAGCGAAAGCCAGGGGAGCAAACGGG
rnacentral:rRNA from 1 species